rnacentral:lncRNA from 1 species
CUUAAACAAGCAACUGACCUCCUGCAGUCUUGCUGACCAUCUCACUGCAGAUGUUAUGGCAUCUCUAAGUCUGGGAUGAACGAAGGAAGACAAAGCCUCGACUUACGUGCUUAUAAAUCUGUACUACAUCAAUUAUAUAUUAGUUAUAUACAAAGUCUGCUAAAAAAUGUAUACACACUUCAGCAGUUUGCUGUACUAACAGAUAUCUGGAAGAUAAUGGCCACCAUUCUGAGCACCUCUUAUAAUUGUAGAAGCCAAAGGUAACUUGUAUUAAUCUUACAAUGUC